rnacentral:lncRNA from 1 species
UAGAGGUGGCUUUUAUUAUAAAUGCUAUCAUAAUUAUCAAUUAGUAUUAUUUUGGAUUCAGCAAAGAGUGGUUGUGUCCCGGAAUAUAUUUCAAUAUUUAAACAAAAUGAAAGGGAUGGUGUGCUGUUUCCUAAUGUUCCUUAUUUUGGAGGAAUGUGAUUGUAACCCAUGUUUCGGCAGGCUGUUUGAUGGAUCCUGUAAUCAUCAUAGAAACAUAGGAUUUGGCGUGAGCCCCCCAGUAUAUUAAAUAAACCAGAAACCGGGUGCAAAGCAAAUAAUACCAAACCCAAAAAACGGUGCAAGCGAAAUAAUACCGAGCUCAAAAAAUACUUGGAAAAUAAUACCGAGCCCAAAUAAUGCUAGGAAAAUAAUACCGGGCCCAAACGAUGCUAGGAAAAUAAUACCAGGCCCAAACAAUGCUAGGAAAAUAAUACCGGGCCCAAAAAAUGCUAGGAAAAUAAUACCGGGCCCAAACAAUGCUAGGAAAAUAAUACCGGGCCCAAAUAGUGGUGUAAGGAAAAUAAUAUCGAGCCCAAAUAGUGGUGUAAGGAAAAUAAUACCGGGCCCAAAUAGUGGCGUACCGGUUUCCACGAAUAUAGCAGUGAACUCAAAAAGUGAUACAUCGGUUUCGACGACAAAACUCAAAAAGUGACACACAUCAUACGCAAAUGGAUCCCUAAGUAGCUUACCUAAUAAACCAAAUGUGGUCUGAUGUGGUUUUACAUUACAGUGAGUCAAAUCCAUAAAUAUUAUAUCUAUAACUAGACGAUUUCCCACGGUUUCAACCACGUCCUGUGAGAAAUACUUUCCGUACCGUGAUAAAAUAUAGCCUAUGUUACUCAGGAAGAGCGUAGCUUACGAAUUGUGAUAGAUUUUUUGACACAUCCUCAAUCCACAAAUGUAAUUUUAAGUUUAGUUUGCUAAUUUAUUUUUUAAAAUAUUUAUAAAUUGUUUUUUGUUUUCGUAUUAGUAAUCGCUCCAAACCUUCUGUAUCUUACUAAUUUAAAUGUAUGUACUCUAUAAACUGUUCCUGAGGGGAACCGCGCUGUAAGCUGAGAUACAGGCUCACGCCUAGUUCGGCUGCAGAUGCUACUUCUGUUUAUUGUAUGUAAUCUGUCAGCCUAGUUUUGUAAGAAGAACUGUACUGUAAUUGUUUUGAGUAAAUAAAUAAAUGAUUAAUAUAUUAUGAAUUAUUGAGAGCGUACUGGAUUUUGAACACUGGCGUCUUGAAGCCCUAGACGCCAAACCCCAGCUCCAAAAAUCCCGCCCUAAGCCCUCCUAUAACUACACUUACAAUGCGCAAGGGCAACUUUACUGCGCCAUUUGUGAC